rnacentral:sRNA from 1 species
GCCAGAAUUUCGAUGCAAAUUUGGUGUCUUGGUCUGUGAUUAUUUCCUCUGGUGUUCCAUGGUUGAUGAACAUGUUUUGUAAAACCACAUAUGCUGUUUCUGGUGCUGAUGUUGCUUCUUUGAAUGGUAUGAAGUAGAUGUACUUUGUUAAUCUGUCUGUUACUGUUAAGAUAGAGUUGUAGUGUAUAUCUGUUUGAGGUUCUUUUGACUUUGGCAAUUUGACAAUAAAGUCCAUUGCUAUCAAUGCCCAUGGUUUUCAUAAAACUGGUAUUGGCUGCAUCUUUCCGUACGGUGUGUGUCUGCUUGAUUUGCUUUGUUGACACAUGUUGCAAUUCUGUACAUAUUCUUGAAUAUCUUUCCACAUUCCUGGUCAGUAGUACAUUCUGGUGAUUCUUUUCAUUGUUUUAUUGGUUCUGAAAUGUCCUGCAGUUACCGUGUCAUGAUUUUCUUGCAUUAUAUCAUUCUGUGCUGCUUUUGGAACGUAAAUCGAUCUGUUGUGGUAGACUAUUUCAUUGUCUUUGAUCAUGUUUCUAGCCUGUUCAUCACUUGCUGUGGCUUUCCUGAUCUUUUGUAUAUUCUUGUUAUCCACUGAUAGAAUCUUCAUAGCCUGUAUUGCUUGUUGAUUGAAUGCUAUUCCAUCUUCUGCAUCUUUGGUGAAUAUCGCGUGUUUCUGACUUUCCUUUGUCAUUAAGUCUGGUCUUUGGCUUAGUGUAUCUGCCCAGACAUUUUCUUUUCCUUUGCAGUGUUGAAUCUUGAAGUUGUAAGCUGCUAGAGUCUCUGACCAUCUUGCUUGUCUUCUUGUUAAUUUCUUUGUAGUUGUAAAGUACUGCAAGUUGUGGUGAUCUGAUAGUAUGGUGAC